rnacentral:lncRNA from 1 species
CAAUCAGCGAGACACCGUGGGCGUAGGACCCUCUGAGCCAGGUGUGGGAUAUAAUCUUGUGGUGCGCCGUUUUUAAAGCCGGUCUGAAAAGCGCAAUAUUCGGGUGGGAGUGACCCGAUUUUCCAGGUGAGUCCGUCACCCCUCUCUUUGACUCGGAAAGGGAACUCCCUGACCCCUUGCGCUUCCCAGGUGAGGCAAUGCCUCACCCUGCUUUGGCUUGCGCACGGUGCACGCACCCACUGGCCUGCGCCCACUGUCUGGCACACCCUAGUGAGAUGAACCAGAUACCUCAGACGGAAAUGCAGAAAUCACCCAUCUUCUGCGUCACUCACGCUGGGAGCUGUAGACCGGAGCUGUUCCUAUUUGGCCAUCUUCGGUUCUUGAUUUCUCUUUAUAUCUUCUAUUCCUUUGCUAAGAGCCUUUCUGACUGUAUUCUCCUAACUUUUAAACCAUUGAGUAAUUAACACUGCAAUGAUGAACAGACACCAGUGACUGAACCUGACAAAGAUUUAUUUGCCACAAAUGAAAAGUCUACUGAGAUUGGCCAGCCUUCCUCCACAUCAGAUGAAAUUGCGUCAUCUGAAACACUGGCCAUCAUGUUUAUAUGCUGCCAAAGCACCACUGUCUACUAAGUUUUUGAGGAAACCAUAUUGCUAGAGAAACUGCAAGCCUGAGCAGCCUCCAAUUGUUGAAGACUUACAUCCAUCUUGGACCUCCAAACAUUCAUAAGCAGGAAGCAGGCCUCAAAAACUAUGGCCCCCAAAUGAGGGCUUGUUCCCCAACCCCCACUUUAGACAUGGAGAAGAAGAAUAAUGGACAAGGAGGCUCCUCCCAGAAGGAUCCAAGGACCCCUGAGGUUGGUGGACAAUGGACUUCCAGCACAGAUUGGAAUCAGAACACAAUCAAGGACACUGUCUCUCCAAUAGAAACUCUUCCUAUGUCUGCCCAGAGUAAUUCCUUAACUGUGAUGGACAAAGAGCUGUGGCAUCAUUGCUUUCCAUUUUUUGAAUGAAAGUUAUGGUGCAGUAAUCCUUUCCCUGCUCCAGCAGGUGAGGGGGUGGCAGAGAGGGGCCAAUAAUUUGUCAUUUUGUUCCUAGAUUGCCAGACCAAGAGGAGCUAUGUCUUGGUCUGCAAAAAAGAACCAGACAUUGCCACAAAUCCUGGGCUUGAGCUGAAUGCAGGGACUGGUGGGUUUCUCUGUUGUGUCCCUUGGAGAGGGAGUGAAGACUUCUUAUGCAGUGCCUCUCAACAUAUUCUAACCUUCCUGCCUGCUAGGCUUGCCAUGUGUUGUGUUCCAGACAGUAAAAUUUAAGCAGAAGUUCUGACUUUCUUACUGCUGGGCUAAGGUAGUUACGUACUAGUGUACUAGUGUGUCUCCCCACAAUGAACCUCCCACCUUCUUCCCACAAAGCCCAAGGGAUAAAAUUCAGGGCAAAUUAGAAUCCAAAAGAAGGAGCCACAAAGUGGAAGAAACCUGGAUGCCUGAGUCACUAUGUGGGGAAAACACCAACUAAAAAGCUUUAUGUGAUCCACAUUUGAUAUGAGUGAGAAAUAAAUUUUUGAUUGUUUUAGGCCAUUGAUAUUUUGAGAUUGCAACAACAGCUAGUAUAAGUUAGCCCAAUGCUUUAGGAAAACGUCUAUUUGUUUAUCUAAUCUAUGAAGAUCACUGACUCAUUACUCUGUUUUGUUUUCUUAAUGAACACAAUAUACCAUGUGGGUAAGAGAUAAGGGGAAGGGGUGGAGGGGGGAUUUGGAGCCAGAAGACAAGAAGUUCUCUCUUUGCCUAUUCAUGCGUAUUUAGUAAAUUAACAUUUCCAUGCUGGGUCAUGAUUAUUUUCCCUGACCCUGCCCAGAAGAAAGCAAUCUCCAACUGUAUACUCACUGGCAUUUUGCUUUCAGGGAUACCGUUUUGUAAUUGGGCUCGGUUCAGUCCUCAUGGUCUGAAGAGAAAAUGAUAUACCAUGCUUUAAUAAGAGAUGUUCUGUCUUUAGUGCAAGACCCAGCCCACUGUUUGUAAUAAACUCUGAAGUCUGUGCUUGACAAGUACUACUUACAUACAGAGCAUGUCGUGAAGUAUAACAGAGAAGAUGAAGCCUGGUAAAAUGACACAGUUUGCUUCUCUCUUCAACAAAGGAAACUCUGAUUCUGGUUUUAGAAGGGACCGGCACCUUCUCCUUUCCCUGCCAGAUUUUCCUUCUACCAAGACUGGGGUCCAACUGUGAGCCCUGUGCUUCAGGUCAGGAGAAAUUCAGUAUGUGAAAGCAUUUUGCAAUCCGUAAAGCUUAAAUAUGCAUGCACGUUGUGAGGCAAUAUGGUAUAAAGGAAAGCAGAGGUUUAGACGUCAGUCCCACUCAUUUUAAAUCCUGGGUCCACUGCCCUCUAGCUAGGUAAUUCUUGGAAUGUUUCUCAACUUCUCUGAUCUUCAGUUCCCUCCACUAUAAAAUAAGAUCUAUAAGACCUACUACUUAGGGUGGGAAUAAAAUCAAUAACAUGUGAAUACCUAGCUCAGUGUCUGGUACAUGUUGGUGCUCAAUAAAUGUGUAAUUCCUUCCUUUCCCUUUCCUACCCACAUGCUGUCCUCAGGGUAGAACACAUAGAUGAUUCUUUCUCGUGCCCUGCCUGCCUCAGUACAUUUCUGGAUGUACGGAUUGAGACUUCCUGACUUACGAUUGCAUAAACUCCACAGCAAGUAUCUUUGGCUGUGUUAGUGCAAAUCCCUUGAAUAAUGUCCCAGUUCUCCUCUACGGCAGACUCCGUUGGAUUAAGAAAGAAGGCAACAGAAUGGAAAGAGCAUUCAACUUGGUGUCAAGUCCUGGGUACAGAUCUCUUUUCCAGCCUGUGCACUGUUGGUUAAAUUAGAAAUCUCUCUAAACCCCAAUUUACUCAUAUGGAAAAUGUCAGUUAUAGCUUCCAUAAAAGAACUUCAUGACAUAAAAAAACCUAGCACAAAUAUAAGGUAUUUCAGUAUACUUCCAGUAUAUCUUUGCUUACUCUUAUUGUCCUAUGUGUUAAUCCUACUAAAAAGCCUUGUGUCCCAUGUGUCUUCUCCCACACCUACUGAGUUUGUAAGGCAAGGUAGGUGCUUUGGGCAGGCAUCCAUCCAUGGCAUCACUUCAUCUAUCUUUGCUCAUGUUCAAGAAUGGUUUGGUUUCUUUCAUGCGCGUCCGUGUGAAGAGACCACCAAACAGGCUUUGUGUGAGCAACAUGGCUGUUUAUUUCACCUGGGUGCAGGCGGGCUGAGUCCGAAAAGAGAGUCAGCGAAGGGAGAUGGGGCGGGGCCAUUUUAUAGGAUUUGGGAAGGUAAUGGAAAAUUACAGUCAAAGGGCGUUGUUCUCUGGU